rnacentral:sRNA from 1 species
AGCCUAAACCAUCGAGCAAUCGGUGGCAUGGCGAAAAAGCCCGAUCAAGCAUAAAAAACCCGUCAUGGGGUUGCUUGAUCGGCCGCGCAGGGAAACUUGCGUGUCUGGCGGAAACGCCGGA